UACAGAGGUCCCAAGCGUUGUUCGGAUUCACUGGGCGUAAAGGGUGCGUAGGUGGCUGGGUAAGUCUGAUGUGAAAUCUUGGAGCUUAACUCCGAAACUGCAUUCGAUACUGCCGUGCUUGAGGACUGGAGAGGAGACUGGAAUUUACGGUGUAGCGGUGAAAUGCGUAGAUAUCGUAAGGAAGACCAGUGGCGAAGGCGGGUCUCUGGACAGUUCCUGACGCUGAGGCACGAAGGCCAGGGGAGCAAACGGG
rnacentral:rRNA from 1 species